rnacentral:tRNA from 1 species
UGGGAUGUAGCCAAAAGGUAAGGCAACAGAUUUUGAUUCUGUGAAUAUAGGUUCAACUCCUAUCUUCCCAA